CAUAUCAAUAAGCGGAGGAAAAGAAACCAACAGGGAUUGCCUCAGUAACGGCGAGUGAAGCGGCAACAGCUCAAAUUUGAAAUCUGACCUCUUCGGGGGCCCGAGUUGUAAUUUGAAGAGGGUGUUUCGGGCGAGGCGUCGGCUAAGUCCCUUGGAACAGGCGUCAUAGAGGGUGAGAAUCCCGUAUGCGGCCGGUGACCGGACCCAUGUGAAACCCCUUCGACGAGUCGAGUUGUUUGGGAAUGCAGCUCUAAAUGGGUGGUAUAUUUCAUCUAAAGCUAAAUACCGGCCAGAGACCGAUAGCGCACAAGUAGAGUGAUCGAAAGAUGAAAAGCACUUUGGAAAGAGAGUUAAAAAGUACGUGAAAUUGUUGAAAGGGAAGCGCUUGCGACCAGACCUGACGCCGGGUGAUCAACCGUCGUUCUCGGCGGUGCACUCGCCCGCGCGCAGGCCAGCAUCGGUUCGGGGGGCUGGAUAAAGGCCCCGGGAAUGUAGCUCCCCUCGGGGAGUCUUAUAGCCCGGGGUGCAAUGCGGCCAGCCCGGACCGAGGACCGCGCUUCGGCAAGGAUGCUGGCGUAAUGGUCGUAAGCGGCCCGUCUUGAAACACGGACCAAGGAGUCUAACAUCUAUGCGAGUGUUUGGGUGUCAAACCCGUGCGCGGAAUGAAAGUGAACGGAGGUGGGAACCCCUCGAGGGCGCACCAUCGACCGAUCCAGAUGUAUUCGGACGGAUUUGAGUAAGAGCAUAGCUGUUGGGACCCGAAAGAUGAUGAACUAUACUUGAAUAGGGUGAAGCCAGAGGAAACUCUGGUGGAGGCUCGCAGCGGUUCUGACGUGCAAAUCGAUCGUCAAAUUUGAGUAUAGGG
rnacentral:rRNA from 1 species